UACGAGGGGAGCUAGCGUUGUUCGGAUUUACUGGGCGUAAAGGGCGCGUAGGCGGCCACCGCAAGUCGACUGUGAAAUCUCCGGGCUUAACCCGGAAAGGUCAGCCGAUACUGCGGGGCUAGAGUGCAGAAGGGGCAACUGGAAUUCUCGGUGUAGCGGUGAAAUGCGUAGAUAUCGAGAGGAACACCUGCGGCGAAGGCGGGUUGCUGGGCUGACACUGACGCUGAGGCGCGAAAGCGUGGGGAGCGAACAGG
rnacentral:rRNA from 1 species